AAGAGAAAAGGAGAGGGGGACAGGAGAGGGAGGUAGAGAGGAGACACUGGAUCAGAGGGGACAGGAGAGGGAGGUAGAGAGGAGACACUGGAUCAGAGGGGACAGGAGAGGGAGGUAGAGAGGAGACACUGGAUCAGAGGGGACAGGAGAGGGAGGUAGAGAGGAGACACUGGAUAAAAGGGGACAGGAGAGGGAGGUAGAGAGGAGACACUGGAUCAGAUGGGACAGGAGAGGGCGGUAGAGAGGAGACACUGGAUCAGAGGGGACAGGAGACGGAGGUAGAGAGGAGACACUGGAUCAGAGGGGACAGGAGACGGAGGUAGAGAGGAGACACUGGAUCAGAUGGGACAGAGACACCCUGAAACACAGGAGAAGAUGUGUGUGUGUUUUCUAUCCAUUUUUCUAUCAGGUUCUGUUCACCUGAUGUGCUACAUGGUUCUCUUUCUUCAUGGUUAGUAGAUCAGUUAACAGGAGGAGG
ensembl:lncRNA